GACGAACGCUGGCGGCGUGCUUAACACAUGCAAGUCGAACGGUGAACGAGGGAGCUUGCUCCCUCCGGGUCAGUGGCGCACGGGUGAGUAACACGUGAGCAAUCUGCCCCGAACUCUGGGAUAAGCGUUGGAAACGACGUCUAAUACCGGAUACGACGCGGGAGGGCAUCCUCUCCGCGUGGAAAGAACUUCGGUUCGGGAUGAGCUCGCGGCCUAUCAGCUUGUUGGUGAGGUAACGGCUCACCAAGGCGACGACGGGUAGCCGGCCUGAGAGGGUGACCGGCCACACUGGGACUGAGACACGGCCCAGACUCCUACGGGAGGCAGCAGUGGGGAAUAUUGCACAAUGGGCGCAAGCCUGAUGCAGCAACGCCGCGUGAGGGACGACGGCCUUCGGGUUGUAAACCUCUUUUAGCAGGGAAGAAGCGAAAGUGACGGUACCUGCAGAAAAAGCACCGGCUAACUACGUG
rnacentral:rRNA from 1 species